rnacentral:lncRNA from 1 species
GGGGGAAGAGCGGAAUUGGUCUGCCUUAGUAGUAGUAGUAUUUAUAUAUUUUGAUAAUGCUUUGAAUUGCAGUUUACUUCUGAAACCUUGCCCUUUGAAAAGCACACACCCUUUAAGUUGACAAUUUUUUUUUCAGGCUUCUGUUCCUUUAAAAUUCUCUUCUUUUCGUUUUUACUGCUCUUUUUCAAUUAUCUACCAGAAAACUUGCUUUCUUCCAGCAGAAACGUGGGGCUGGCGGGCUCGGGCUUUCACUGCACCCGCUCUGUGAAAUUCUCUGGGAAAACCCCUCGGCAUUGGUCAAGUUCCUUAUGCUGGAUCCAGUCAGACUCCUUCACACCCAUCAGCCAUCCUUCAUCCUGCUCCUCAGGGUUCUCAAAUGGAAUCACAAGCACCACAUCCCCGGCCUUCAGCUGUAACUCAUCACUGUCAGUAGCUGUGUAAUCAUGCAUAGCCUGGACCUUGAACAGAAAUCCUGGGGGCAUGUCAGCUCUUUCAGAGGAAGCGCCUCCUUCCACGGUGCCAUUGACAGUAGCAGGGAAAGUCUCCACAACGACAGCGGGCAAAGAGCUCGAUCCUGAAUCACCUUCAGUUUUAGAUGCUUCAGCUCCAGCUGCUGCUUCAGAUCCAGCUGCUUCAGCUCCUGCAUGGGCUGCUUCUGUAGGCUGAGAAGCAGGUGUGGGGGUCUUCCCC